rnacentral:rRNA from 1 species
UACGUAGGUGGCAAGCGUUGUCCGGAAUCACUGGGCGUAAAGGGCGCGUAGGCGGCUCAUGAAGGCUGUGGUGAAAGUCCGGGGCUCAACCUCGGAUCGGCCGUGGCGACUCGUGGGCUGGAGCACUGUAGAGGCGGGUGGAAUUCCGGGUGUAGCGGUGGAAUGCGUAGAGAUCCGGAAGAACACCAGUGGCGAAGGCGGCCCGCUGGGCAGUGGCUGACGCUGAAGCGCGACAGCGUGGGGAGCAAACAGG